GACGAACGCUGGCGGCGUGCUUAACACAUGCAAGUCGAACGGAAAGGCCCUGCUUUUGUGGGGUGCUCGAGUGGCGAACGGGUGAGUAACACGUGAGUAACCUGCCCUUGACUUUGGGAUAACUUCAGGAAACUGGGGCUAAUACCGGAUAGGAGCUCCUGCUGCAUGGUGGGGGUUGGAAAGUUUCGGCGGUUGGGGAUGGACUCGAGGCUUAUGAGCUUGUUGGUGGGGUAGUGGCUUACCAAGGCUUUGACGGGUAGCCGGCCUGAGAGGGUGACCGGCCACAUUGGGACUGAGAUACGGACCAGAAGCCUACGGGAGGCAGCAGUGGGGAAUAUUGCACAAUGGGCGGAAGCCUGAUGCAGAAACGCCGCGUGCGGGAUGACGGCCUUCGGGUUGUAAACCGCUUUCGCCUGUGACGAAGCGUGAGUGACGGUAAUGGGUAAAGAAGCACCGGCUAACUACGUG
rnacentral:rRNA from 1 species